rnacentral:rRNA from 1 species
AUAAUGGGUCAGCGACUUAUAUUCUGUAGCAAGGUUAACCGAAUAGGGGAGCCGAAGGGAAACCGAGUCUUAACUGGGCGUUAAGUUGCAGGGUAUAGACCCGAAACCCGGUGAUCUAGCCAUGGGCAGGUUGAAGGUUGGGUAACACUAACUGGAGGACCGAACCGACUAAUGUUGAAAAAUUAGCGGAUGACUUGUGGCUGGGGGUGAAAGGCCAAUCAAACCGGGAGAUAGCUGGUUCUCCCCGAAAGCUAUUUAGGUAGCGCCUCGUGAAUUCAUCUCCGGGGGUAGAGCACUGUUUCGGCAAGGGGGUCAUCCCGACUUACCAACCCGAUGCAAACUGCGAAUACCGGAGAAUGUUAUCACGGGAGACACACGGCGGGUGCUAACGUCCGUCGUGAAGAGGGAAACAACCCAGACCGCCAGCUAAGGUCCCAAAGUCAUGGUUAAGUGGGAAACGAUGUGGGAAGGCCCAGACAGCCAGGAUGUUGGCUUAGAAGCAGCCAUCAUUUAAAGAAAGCGUAAUAGCUCACUGGUCGAGUCGGCCUGCGCGGAAGAUGUAACGGGGCUAAACCAUGCACCGAAGCUGCGGCAGCGACGCUUAUGCGUUGUUGGGUAGGGGAGCGUUCUGUAAGCCUGCGAAGGUGUGCUGUGAGGCAUGCUGGAGGUAUCAGAAGUGCGAAUGCUGACAUAAGUAACGAUAAAGCGGGUGAAAAGCCCGCUCGCCGGAAGACCAAGGGUUCCUGUCCAACGUUAAUCGGGGCAGGGUGAGUCGACCCCUAAGGCGAGGCCGAAAGGCGUAGUCGAUGGGAAACAGGUUAAUAUUCCUGUACUUGGUGUUACUGCGAAGGGGGGACGGAGAAGGCUAUGUUGGCCGGGCGACGGUUGUCCCGGUUUAAGCGUGUAGGCUGGUUUUCCAGGCAAAUCCGG